CAUGAUUAUUUAUUCAAAGUUAAAAGAAAAGAGACGGGUCUUCAAGGGAUCACAACUAACUGAACAUGUUGCCCAAAAUAUGUUGUCAUUUUCUCAUUAACAGCUGCUGUUUGUGAUAAAAACUUAUGAUUACUUGAAAAAAAUGUGUAUCUUUUGUUUUUCACCUGUGAGGGUUUCCAUUUUGUCAUUAGCAUGGUGGCUUAAUGACGCAGUCAGGAACCCUCUGGACAGAGUAGGCCACCUUUAACAGUCAUUUAUUUAUUAUAUCAUGUUUGACUGAUGUAAAUUUAGACAAUGCCGCACUACGUCACUGUUGGCGGUAAUUUAAAAACAACAGCAAAACAAACAGAAAUAGUGAGUUGAGUCUGCAUCGCUUCCCACAAGAAAAAAAGAGCGCAAUGGGAUAGAGCAGUUGGAAGAGCACAGCUUCUGGAGGACCCACAUCUGUGCUCUCAACAUUUCUCUCCAGAAGACUUUGAGUCAUUUGUAGGAGCAGAUUGAUGAAGGAGCUAAUUGGUGGUUGUUCCCAUCACAAGCUGAAACCAAAUGCCUGCCGAAAAUGUAUCCAAAAAACCUAAACCUGACACCAGACCGGACACAGAGCCACAGAACCACUUACCGGAUCACACAGUCCGACCAGAGGUAGGUGUCAUUCAUUGUUCCAUUUAUGAAGCUAGCAGCCGCACAACUGGCUUCGGCUAACUCUGUCCUCUUCCUCCGUUUGCUCCUCCUCAUCUUCAUUGUGAUUUCUACGUUCCCAUUGAUUUCAACGAGCUCCGGUUCAAAUGGCAAAGGCUUAAUAACGGUACCCAUCUGUCUUACCGUAUUUGGCUGUGAUGAAUGACGUGCUCAGUCGUCAUUUACCCAGAAUGCAUUGCAGCGUAAACAACAUGGCCACAGUUGUGUGACAAUAUUUUGUUUAAUUUUUUUUUUUUUAAAACAACUACUCAGCAGCCACUAUUUUUACUGUAUUUUUUUUCUAAUAAAUAUUUAUGAAUUAAAGUUUGCUGCAACUAAUCAUGGAUCCUUUCUGAAGGCAUUAAAAGCAGAAAUGAUGGAGCCUGUCUAACAUCCAGAGGAAAGUCGAUCGUGUUUGGCCGUUUGGAGACGUGCAGCAGCUUUCAGAUGUAUGAAUCCCUGACUCCUUCAUGGAGGAUACGACAGUUAUCCAGCCAAGUGCUUAUUUUCCUCCACAUCUGGAUGGAGGCCAUAAAAAUAAAUCGCCUUCCAAAACAAUCCAAUUAAAUAAAAAACGGGCACACUUCCAGCAAA